rnacentral:rRNA from 1 species
UACGUAGGGGGCUAGCGUUGUCCGGAAUCAUUGGGCGUAAAGCGCGUGUAGGCGGCCCGGUAAGUCCGCUGUGAAAGUCGGGGGCUCAACCCUCGGAUGCCGGUGGAUACUGUCGGGCUAGAGUGCGGAAGAGGCGAGUGGAAUUCCUGGUGUAGCGGUGAAAUGCGCAGAUAUCGGGAGGAACACCAAUGGCGAAGGCAGCUUGCUGGGACGGUACUGACGCUGAGGCGCGAAAGCGUGGGGGGCAAACAGG